rnacentral:misc_RNA from 1 species
AAGGCAUCUUCCACGUUGCUAUAAGUUGUGACUACCUCAAGAAAAGGUGUAAUGGAUAGAAGUAGAGCAGUUGUCUUUCCAGUUCUCACGGUCCUCUCUCCUUUCUCGGGGCCACCCAGCAGAAGCUUGGUUAUCAUCGGGCCUGAACCAAGUAAGCUUGUUAAUCAAUUUGCAUCACACCGUUGAGGCUUUUCUCCAUGUUCCUGCUACUGCUUCUCUACCUUUAAGAUUCACUCAGAG